AGAUAAAUAUAUCAAGAGAGGCCAACUGCCUUAUGAAGCAAGCUCAAUAGCAGCAAUGAACUACGGAGGCCUACAGAUCAGCCGACUGCCAUGGAUAAGCUCAAGAUAAAAAUAAUCACGCGAAAGGUUCAGAACACCAAGCGAAUUCAAGAGGCAAGUGUGCUACUUGAAAAUGAUGGCACGACAUUGCGACUGAUCAAUGCGAUUUACGAGAGGCUCAACAACAAUAAUGAGGAGUUCAACAAGAUGAACGAAGACAUUGAGAGCAACAAAAGAGAUGAAGCCUUCAAAAAGGAGACCGUCGUGGAAUAUGAGGAUAACGCGACCUGCAUAUUAGUCGACCUUCAGAGCAAACGCUGACAGCUCACCGAGACAUCUGUGGUUUCACCAGCUGUUGAAGUUCGCGACGUGCGGCCGGCUAUGCGACCUGCUGGAAGGCCAGGAGCCAAGUUCCCAAAGUUGGCAAAUAAUUAAUCCGCAUGUGAAUCGUGUGCGUGGAAAGCGUUCUGGCUGUAAUUUGAUGAGCUCAUCAACCAGAAUGGAAAUCUCACCUCUUCUCUACUGAAGAGUUUAAUUGUUUGAGACUUUUUGAAAGGAGACGCGACAGCUAUGGCGGGGCUACCUACUACCGAAGUAUGCUAACGAGGAAACCUUAGUCAUGCUGAAAAAAUGCUUCAGCGACAAAAAGCGCUUUGAGCAGGAAUAUUUCUCAAGGCUUCAAAGGCUUACUUCUGUGUGUUCUUCCAAUAAAGUGGCCAAACUCCACAAGCUGUGCGAACAAGUGUUGAUUGGGGGCUCAUAGCGUAUGCAGAUUAUUUUUCUCAUCAACGCUAUGCAACCCUUUGCAAAGGGCUUUGCCACAUGACACCAUCGUUGCCUACCUCAGAUCUUGCACAACAGAACCUGCACGGUUCAUCAUCAACAACUUUCAAGUUCAGCACGUCAUGGAACUAGAUCACCUUGUGCAGUUUGUCUGUAUUUAAAUGGAGAGCCUCAAAAAGAGAGACUUUGGGGAACGGAAAGGAUACGAUGAGGCGGCUGAUCCUAGAAACCGCGAUAAUCCUCAGUUUCACAGCAUUUAUGACACAACCCAUACAGCAUCGGUACUUCAUUGUCAAGUUUCUACUACUCCCACAAAGUUGAGCUGCGCCUUAUGUAAAUUGACGCAGCACUUGACGGAGUGCUGCCGUAGAAACCUACCGCUGCCAAAUAAGAAGCAUAUUCUCUCCACUGACAUGAGCGGCUUUCAAUGCACCAGUAAAAAUUACCGCGCAAGACUGCAGACAUAGAAUUGCACGCUUCGGCUGAAGGGGUCUUCAUGCAUCAAGUAUGUGCGAGCCAGACAAACUAAGGCAAAAGCCUCGUGAAGACAUCAAAGUGACCAGUCAACUCACCUGACCAGAACACAACAAAACACUGACUACCAUGGAAAAGUUAAAGUGGACCUUUCAGGGUAGCACCGAACCCUCCCAGUCAAAGACAUUUGACUCCCGAAUCAUGGACAUGAGCUCCCGGCCUGACAAUUCAAAUGGUAAUGAGUUGCAGGAAAUCAUUGAAAUCACGGAAAAGGGAAGCUGACCCGACUUAAACUCCAUGUUCGAACUAGCAAUAGUGAGAGCCUGGAGCUGGCCUUGCAUGCUAGCCAAAAGUGAAUUAUCCAGGCGAAGCAUAAUGUCCUGCAUGAAGCUCAAAUUCAUAAAAACGAGAAUGAGCUAGCCACUUCAUUGCGAACUAAGAUGGCCGAUUCACGAUUAGAGUUGCGCAAAGAGCAGAUUGCUUUCGACUAGAAACACAGUGCUCAUGCCAGCACAGUGAGGAAACUUCAACGUACGAUUAUUGAUGAACGACCUCAUAGUGAAAGCUGCGAAUGCAAACUUGCAGAAGCCAUGAGGAAAGCUUUGCAGACAGACGUGGAAAAGGAGUACUAAUCCAAAGUAGAGAGACUGAUCCAGGAGUUGAAUCAGGUGCGCAAGUGGCUGCGUGGAUCGGAGGAGAAGCUCUAACUGAUCUUCCCCAUGCUUCUCAAAAUGCAAAUGUUGGACAUAGAACCAUGCCAAGCUGAUUUACAUAAAAGAAAGAAGCAGCAAAGACAUGACUUUGAUUGCCUUCAUAAGCAGACGACAGGAAGCGAGAUGCAGAUGACAAGCCCAGACAUUUGUGUGUAGAGGUUUUCCCAGCCUGCACGAACACAAGAUCAGCUGCGAUUGCAAAUCGAGCAGAUCAGAGAGUGUCUCUUGCUGCUAAGCCAAGAAGACGGAUGCUUGUCAAAUACUGCAAACAUCGAUGCCAAGACUGCCGUACUGCCUUCCUAGGAUAGAAAACCUAAACCUGUGGACAACACUGAACCAUUUUGGAGAAAGGCACCUGCAGCUGUAACAGACAAUGCAGCUCCUGCUUAGAGGCCUGUUGACCUGAUUGCCUUCAUCAGCGAACUAGCAGAAAAGGAAUCAGUCUCCAUGCCAAGUUGUAAGAGAAGCUGCAGCAAAGGACGUAUGAGUCUGAAAAGAAGGCUGACACCUAAAGGCUGUAUCGAGAAAAAUGAAGCAGAAACACACACAAAGGACUUUAAGGAUGCAACACUGAAAGUGCCUUACCACACAGAUAAGACACCACUGCGCGGCUGAGAAUGUGUUGAAUUUCCUGUGUUAGCCUGAGAGAAGAAAGCGACGAGCUUUGUGCCAGUAAGCCAGCGAACGCGUGAGCUCUUUUGAAAGAGAGAAGAGGCCAUUUUUAUCUUCUGUGCUCAUUCAGAUGCUAAUAAACAUCUGUCGGAGUUCUCAAGUCUA